GGCAACAGAUGGAUUUAAAGGUGUUUCAUUGAGAAACAGCUCAAAUCGUGGGCAUGAUGUUCACCACAGAUAUGGUGGUGAUGGCCACGUUCGUUUGGCAAAGCGCAUGGAAGCUAGUUCUGGUGUUACGCCGAGUGAUGUUCAGGUUUACCUUAGAGGUCACAGGGGGUCGGAUCCUACAAAUCCAGAACAGUUGUGUUCUCAGUCAGCUGCUGAGCGUGUGGCCUCAUAUGGUGCUUCCAUGAUGUCGGAGCAUGGGCAAGACUAUGAUUGGAUGAAUCAGCCUAUCGAUCCUCAGAUUGUGUAUGCU